CCUACGGGAGGCAGCAGUGAGGAAUAUUGGUCAAUGGACGCGAGCCUGAACCAGCCAAGUAGCGUGAAGGAUGACUGCCCUAUGGGUUGAAACCUUCUUUUAUAAAGGAAUAAAACGAGGCACGUGUGCCUUUCUCCAUUUACUUUAUGAUAAAGGAUCGGCUAACUCCGGGCCAUCAGCCGCGGUAAUACGGAGGAUGCGAGCGUUAUCCGGAUUUGUUGGGUUUAAAGGGAGCGUAGGUGGGUCGUUAAGUCAGUUGUGAAAGUUUGCGGCUCAACCGGAAAAUUGCAUUUGAUACUGGCAGUCUUGAGUGCAGUUGAGGUAGGCGGAAUUCGAGGUGUAGCAGUGAAAUGCUUAGAUAUGACGAAGAACCCCGAUGGCGAAGGCAGCUUACU
rnacentral:rRNA from 1 species